rnacentral:tRNA from 1 species
GUUGGAAUAGCUCAGUUGGUUAGAGCUUGUGGCUAUUAAUCACAAGGUCCGAGCUUCAAGCCCUCCUUCUAGCG